AUACGUAGGGUGCAAGCGUUAAUCGGAAUUACUGGGCGUAAAGCGUGCGCAGGCGGUUUUGUAAGACAGAGGUGAAAUCCCCGGGCUCCACCUGGGAACUGCCUUUGUGACUGCAAGGCUGGAGUGCGGCAGCGGGGGAUGGAAUUCCGCGUGUAGCAGUGAAAUGCGUAGAUAUGCGGAGGAACACCGAUGGCGAAGGCAAUCCCCUGGGCCUGCACUGACGCUCAUGCACGAAAGCGUGGGGAGCAAACAGGAUUAGAUACCCUGGUAGUCCACGCCCUAAACGAUGUCAACUGGUUGUUGGGGAUUUAUUUUCUCAGUAACGAAGCUAACGCGUGAAGUUGACCGCCUGGGGAGUACGGCCGCAAGGUUAAAACUCAAAUGAAUUGGCUGGG
rnacentral:rRNA from 1 species